GGCUCCUUUCAAAGGUUUACACUUAUUUCAUGCCCUGCUAGGAUGCUGCCUGUGAAGGAAGCAUUUCCUGCUCAGCCUCAGUAGAGCUCCUCACAGGAGCUCUGUGAGGAGCAGGCUGCUCACAGCUCUCACCACUGCACCAAGAAAUUGAUGCGUGCAUCUCUCCAGCAGUUCUGGUAUAUACCCCUGCAGAAUCAGUUACCUCUACCUGGCAAAGAAUAUAGUAUCAUCCAGGAUUUGUCAGAAGAAUUACUGUGCUUGUCUCCAUGUAACUCCAAAAGCUCUACAAAUGCAUCUCAAACCAUCGUCUCGUACUGUAUAUACUGAUGGCCUGGCACCACCCUAUGGCAGCCGUCAGAAAUGCAGACGGAAGCUCUUCCAGAUGCAUGGAGAGAAACUAGCAACACAUAAACAUAUUAGAGAAAAGAAGCAGUGAGUGUUUUCUCAAAAACAAUCAGCAGGCAAUAAACACACUAAUGACAGAGGUUCACAGAAUUCACUGAGAAAAAUGGAAAAGACACAGAACAUGUUCUUCCUAUGAGGCUGCUUCAAUGGACCUUCCACAAGCAGAAGAAAAAACCAAGCAAGCAACCUUUUCCCUGGUCACAGAGCAGACAACUUCCUCACUUCUGGAACCCAGGACCCCAAACUUCCUUGACAUAUCUCCUGCACAUUGAAACAAAACAGCACAGGAAGGAAUAGCUGUUUAACCUCUCUCUCUACUGACAAUAAGCACAACAAACAUAUGGGAUGCAUCUGUGUGAGAACAUGCACAAUGGAAUUAGAACAAAGACAGUUCCCCUAUCUGAUUUUUCCAACUUUUUUUUUUUUUUUUUUUUUUUUUUUUUAAUGCUAACAAGCAGUGCUUAUGUAGCCUUGAAGACUUAAAAACCAAGGGAAACCAUCCAAAAAAUCUACCAGGAAAAAACACUGUGUGUUAUGUGUAUCUUGCCCUCCACACCCUGGAGCUCUUACAGCAAAAUGUGAUGCUGUAUUUCCUUUAGCCCCAGGAAAAGGGCACUGAGAGAGUCACAGAGGUUCAACUUGGGAAUCCUCCACUCAGAAUUCUCCAGGUUACUGGCCUGGGCUGGGCUGUGAACAGCUUGGCUUUAUCACACUUUCUUUUCUCGA